CAAGUAGAACGCUGAAGGAGGAGCUUGCUCUUCUGGAUGAGUUGCGAACGGGUGAGUAACGCGUAGGUAACCUGCCUGGUAGCGGGAGAUAACUAUUGGAAACGAUAGCUAAUACCGCAUAAUAGUAGAUGUUGCAUGACAUUUGCUUAAAAGGUGCAAUUGCAUCACUACCAGAUGGACCUGCGUUGUAUUAGCUAGUUGGUGGGGUAACGGCUCACCAAGGCGACGAUACAUAGCCGACCUGAGAGGGUGAUCGGCCACACUGGGACUGAGACACGGCCCAGACUCCUACGGGAGGCAGCAGUAGGGAAUCUUCGGCAAUGGACGGAAGUCUGACCGAGCAACGCCGCGUGAGUGAAGAAGGUUUUCGGAUCGUAAAGCUCUGUUGUAAGAGAAGAACGAGUGUGAGAGUGGAAAGUUCACACUGUGACGGUAUCUUACCAGAAAGGGACGGCUAACUACGUGCCAGCAGCCGCGGUAAUACGUAGGUCCCGAGCGUUGUCCGGAUUUAUUGGGCGUAAAGCGAGCGCAGGCGGUUAGAUAAGUCUGAAGUUAAAGGCUGUGGCUUAACCAUAGUACGCUUUGGAAACUGCUUAACUUGAGUGCAAGAGGGGAGAGUGGAAUUCCAUGUGUAGCGGUGAAAUGCGUAGAUAUAUGGAGGAACACCGGUGGCG
rnacentral:rRNA from 1 species